rnacentral:tRNA from 4 species
GGGCGGUUAGCUCAGCUGGGAGAGCAUCGGCCUUACAAGCCGAGGGUCGUAGGUUCGAUCCCUGCACCGCCCA